UUCUUGUAAUGUCUAGUUUGGUCAUUUGGCAGCCUUUCUGAGUGCUUAAAAGAGAUUUAAAGGUAAAUACAGUUAAUCCCUGUGUUCCUAUAUAUUCUGUCUACAGUAGGGAAGAAGCAAUGCUGAGGAUCCAGCACUGCAAAUUCAGACACCAACAUGCAUUACCCUGUGGCCAGCCCUUUUCUCUGCCGUUCUACAACAUGCAGAAAUUCCUUGUCCUGCUAGAAAACAUUCAGUGCUGAGAAGACCCAUCUUUAUGCUGAUAACACUAAAAUAUAAAAUAAUGCCAACAGCUGGUGCUACAAAUGGCUUUUAAAAACGAUGUUCAUUCACUAAAUUCCUCUUGCUACUUUUGACAUGAAACACGCAGUCUCUAAUUAUUCUGAUCAAGACGGUGAAAUACAAAAACAAACUUUAAUUGUGUUUAACAGAUAUUUAAUCAGGAUUCACUGAACUACAGAUUAAAGCUGAAAUUCAUAAACCAUAA